rnacentral:lncRNA from 1 species
AUCUUCUAUUUUCUGCCUCCUAAUUUUGUCUUAUGUUCAUUGUAGUUUGCUCUUCAAGGUGAGACUUACCUUUUGAUCAGAAGUUCCCAUUCCCGAAGUCCUUGGAUGGCACAAGACAAGACAGAAAAAUCUCCAGAAUUCCAAAUAUGCAAAAGGCCUUGGCACAGCCCAAACACCAGGACUCAUAAACACUCUGUAGAAGAGAGCAGCGGCUGCUCAGUGAAAGGCACAGAAUUGGUUCCAAACAGUCAAGCCUGCCAGAAAAAACAGACAAACUCUCAAGAACAACAAUGCCUAUUAUAUGUGGGGUAGGAGCUGCCAGACUUUGAUUACUGGCCAGACGUUAACCCCUUUGAUGUCCUAUGGAAGAGAUGCCAAGUCUGAAUCCAGAUAUUGCCAGAAUUCUGUAGUGAUUUGUGAUUUAUAGAGACCUGCAAAACAGGACUACCGGGAAGAGGAAGUGCAAAUGAAGGGCCAUGUCUCCUUGUUUGCUGAAUUCUGCCACGUCUUGUGCUGGCCAGCAGACACGACACAACUCCAGCCUCUCUGCUUGUGCCUCUGCAGGCCUGACUUGUGGUGAGAGUCAAGAUGCUUGUGCCCUGCCUGGGUUGGUGUCUCCAUGUCAAGAGAGUGUCUAAUGCUGUCUCAGAGGAAAGUGUGUAGAUUCCUGGAUGCUACCUGUUAUGGUUUGUGUCUG